GAAAUAGAGAAAAUGGCAACAACAGGCAGCUCAGCCACAGUUAUUAGAGCAACUCCUUUCUUGGGCCAGACCAAAUAUGCUAACCCUCUUAGAGAUGCUGUUGCCAUGGGCGCUGCCAAAUUCACAAUGAGUAAUGAACUAUGGAAUGGACCUGACCGUGUCAAGUACUUGGGACCUUUCUCUGCUCAAACUCCUUCAUACUUGACCGGAGAAUUCCCCGGUGAUUAUGGAUGGGAUAUUGCUGGUUUAUCUGCUGAUCCUAAGGCAUUUGCCAACAACAGAGCUCUUGAGGUUACUCAUGGGAGAUGGGCCAUGCUUGGGGCUUUGGGCUGCAUUACACCAGAAGUUCUUGAAAAAUGGGUAAAAGUGGACUUCAAAGAACCAGUAUGGUUCAAAGCUGGAGCCCAAAUCUUCAGUGGAGGAGGAUUGGACUAUUUGGGCAACCCAAACCUUGUCCAUGCUCAGAGCAUUCUAGCAGUUUCCAAGUAGUACUAAUGGGCCUUGUAGAAGGUUUCAGAAUUAAUGGGCUUCCUGGAGUUGGUGAAGGCAACAAUCUUUACCCAGGUGGUCAGUACUUUGACCCAUUGGGCCUAGCAGAUGACCCAACAACUUUCGCUGAGCUCAAGGUUAAGGAGAUCAAGAACGGGAGAUUGGCUAUAUUCUCCAUGUUUGGAUUCUUUGUUCAAGCUAUUAUCAUCGGCAAAGGCCCACUUGAGAACCUAUUGGAUCACCUUGACAACCCUGUUGCUAACAAUGCUUGGGUUUAUGCUAAUAAGUUUGUUCCUGGAUCUUAA